rnacentral:misc_RNA from 1 species
GGGGGUGGUGGUGGUGGCGG